rnacentral:rRNA from 1 species
AAUCUUCCACAAUGGACGAAAGUCUGAUGGAGCAACGCCGCGCGAGUGAAGAAGGUUUUCGGAUCGUAAAACUCUGUGGUAAGGGAAGAACAAGUACGGUAGCAACUGGCCGUACCUUGACGGUACCUUAUUAGAAAGCCACGGCUAACUACGUGCCAGCAGCCGCGGUAAUACGUAGGUGGCAAGCGUUGUCCGGAAUUAUUGGGCGUAAAGCGCGCGCAGGCGGUCCUUUAAGUCUGAUGUAAAAGCCCACGGCUCAACCGUGGAAGGUCAUUGGAAACUGGGGGACUUGAGUGCAGAAGAGGUUAGUGGAAUUCCAAGUGUAGCGGUGAAAUGCGUAGAGAUUUGGAGGAACACCAGUGGCGAAGGCGACUAACUGGUCUGUAACUGACGCUGAGGCGCGAAAGCGUGGGGAGCGAACA